rnacentral:tRNA from 1 species
GCCACCGUAGCUCAGUCGGUAGAGCGGCGGUUUUGUAAACCGCAGGUCGGGAGUUCGAUCCUCUCCGGUGGCU